CGGAUUUAAGGGUAUUUCUGCGAUGUUAUAAUCAUAUGGUUGUUUAAAUAUGGUUGACGCAGUUGGGUAAGUGCGUAAGCACAUUUGUUUAGAGAAACAAAAUAUUCUAUGUUAUUUAGAAUCCAAACCUUUAUUUUCGCACAGUUAUUGUGGUAUUUUUAAAGAAUGGCAGACCUAUCUUCGGAAAAUAGCGCCUAAAUGAUAAAAAUUG
rnacentral:lncRNA from 1 species